CUAGCAUAUUAUUUGGAGAAUUAUUUUCCUAAAAUAUUUUUAUGAAAAAUAGUAUCUUGGGCUACACGCUUAUACAUAAUGCAACGUUAUUGCUAUAAAAUACAACAGCGAUAGUCAGUAGCUAUAAAAGGUGUGUGGGAAACCCUUUCGCGAAUACUAAAGUUGUGGUGAAGAAAAAUUGUGGAUAAGCUAGCUGGU
rnacentral:ncRNA from 1 species